UCUUUACAGCUAUUUCAGAUCAAAGUGGAGGAAAGUUACUUCGCGGAUGAAAUUGAAUCUUCUGAUCUUCUUGUGUCAAUGGUAUUGGCCGAUGAUAAAAAUGACGCAUAUUCCAUGAUUAUUCAGCCCCAUCAAAGCCACAGGGUGACUGAAAAAGAACACUCAGUCGUCUACGAGCAAAAUUUCGGCACGGAUAGAUUUCUCUUCUUGAAAAAGGUAAAUGGAGUGUCAAAGCUGCGGACAUUCAAAUUGGAUAAAAACUGGAGACUCAGCAUUGAAAAGUUGAAAACGAAUAGUGCGCAACCAGGAGAAACUGUCCUUCUUGUCAUCGACGAUCCUUUGCUUGCUAACCCGCUUUUUCGGCAAGAGAAGUCUCAAGGGAGCUCAUCGUGUAUAAAACAAGAUGUUACAUCAUUUUGGACGGAAAAGCGCCAAAUUUCUCCCCGCAUAGUCAGAUUUACGGUUCACAAAUUCAGAGGGAUGUGGCUGUGA
rnacentral:lncRNA from 1 species